GAUCUAUCCAUGGCCAGGUUGAAGGUGUGGUAACACACACUGGAGGACCGAACCGACUAGUGUUGCAAAAUUAGCGGAUGAGCUGUGGAUAGGGGUGAAAGGCUAAACAAAUCUGGAGAUAGCUGGUUCUCCCCGAAAACUAUUGAGGUAGUGCCUCGUGUAUGACUCCAGGGGGUAGAGCACUGUUAUGGCUAGGGGGACAUGGCGUCUUACCAAACCAUGGCAAACUCCGAAUACUUGGAAGUUUGAGCACGGGAGACAGAGCACCGGGUGCUAACGUCCGGACUCAAGAGGGAAACAACCCAGACCGCCGGCUAAGGUCCCUAAUAUUGACUAAGUGGAAAACGAAGUGGAAAGGCUAAGACAGUCAGGAAGUUGGCUUAGAAGCAGCCAUCCUUCAAAGAAAGCGUAAUAGCUCACUGAUCGAGUCUUUCUGCGCGGAAGAUGUAACGGGGCUAAGUCAAUAACCGAAGCCGCGGAUUCACACUUGUGUGUGAGUGGUAGGGGAGCGUUCUGUAAGCCUGCGAAGGUGACUCGUAAGGGUUGCUGGAGGUAUCAGAAGUGCGAAUGCUGACAUGAGUAACGUUAAAGCGGGUGAAAAGCCCGCUCGCCGUAAGCCCAAGGUUUCCUGCUCUACGUUCAUCGGAGCAGGGUGAGUCGGCCCCUAAGGUGAGGCUGAGAAGCGUAACUGAUGGGAACAAGGUUAAUAUUCCUUGACCACCGCUGAAUGCGAAGGGGGGACGGAGUAUUGAAGAUCAUCCGGGUGUUGGAUAUCCCGGUUUGCGAGCGUAGGAGGCUGACAGGCAAAUCCGUCAGCGAAUCUCCGAGGCAAAGCAUCGAGCUCUCUUUUGAGCGAAGUGAUUGGAUGUGCUUCCAGGAAAAGCCUCUAAGCUCCAGUUCAGCGGGACCGUACCGCAAACCGACACUGGUGGGCGAGCUGAAUAUGCUCAGGCGCUUGAGAGAACUCAGGAGAAGGAACUCGGCAAAUUGACACCGUAACUUCGGGAUAAGGUGUGCCUUUGUAGCGUGGAGGGAGAAACACCCCGAGCGCGAAGAGGUCUCAGAUAAUCGGUGGCUGCGACUGUUUAUUAAAAACACAGCACUCUGCAAAGACGAAAGUCGACGUAUAGGGUGUGAUGCCUGCCCGGUGCUGGAAGAUUAAUUGAUGGGGUGCAAGCUCCUGAUCGAAGUCCCAGUAAACGGCGGCCGUAACUAUAACGGUCCUAAGGUAGCGAAAUUCCUUGUCGGGCAAGUUCCGACCUGCACGAAUGGCAUAACGAUGGCCACACUGUCUCCUCCUGAGACUCAGUGAAGUUGAAGUGUUUGUGAUGAUGCAAUCUCCCCGCGGCUAGACGGAAAGACCCCAUGAACCUUUACUGUAGCUUUGCAUUGGACUUUGAACCGAUCUGUGUAGGAUAGGCGGGAGCCUGUGAAACCACAACGCCAGUUGUGGCGGAGGCGUCCUUGAAAUACCGCCCUGAUUUGUUUGAGGUUCUAACCUGGGACAGUCAUCCUGUCCGGGGACCGUGCAUGGUAGGCAGUUUGACUGGGGCGGUCUCCUCCUAAAGGGUAACGGAGGAGUGCGAAGGUACGCUAGGUACGGUCGGAAAUCGUGCUGAUAGUGCAAUGGCAAAAGCGUGCUUGACUGCGAGACCCACAAGUCGAGCAGAUACGAAAGUAGGUCAUAGUGAUCCGGUGGCUCUGCAUGGAAGGGCCAUCGCUCAACGGAUAAAAGGUACUCUGGGGAUAACAGGCUGAUACCGCCCAAGAGUUCAUAUCGACGGCGGUGUUUGGCACCUCGAUGUCGGCUCAUCUCAUCCUGGGGCUGUAGCCGGUCCCAAGGGUAUGGCUGUUCGCCAUUUAAAGAGGUACGUGAGCUGGGUUUAAAACGUCGUGAGACAGUUUUGUCCCUAUCUGCCGUGGGCGCUGGAAGAUUGACGGGGGCUGCUCCUAGUACGAGAGGACCGGAGUGGACUCACCUCUGGUGUACCGGUUGUCACGCCAGUGGCAUCGCCGGGUAGCUAUGUGGGGAAGAGAUAACCGCUGAAAGCAUCUAAGCGGGAAACUUGCCUGAAGAUAAGUCUUCCUGGAGGCUAGACCUCCCUAAAGAGUCGUUCGAGACCAGGACGUUGAUAGGAUGGGUGUGUAAGUGCUGUGAGGCACUCAGCUAACCAUUACUAAUUGCUCGUGAAGCUUGAUCCU
rnacentral:rRNA from 1 species